CCCUUAGAUGCCCUGGGCUGCACGCGCGCUACACUGAUGCAUUCAACGAGUCCAACCUUGACCGAGAGGUCCGGGUAAUCUUUGAAACUGCAUCGUGAUGGGGCUAGAUUAUUGCAAUUAUUAAUCUUCAACGAGGAAUGCCUAGUAAGCGUGAUUCAUCAAAUCGCGUUGAUUACGUCCCUGCCCUUUGUACACACCGCCCGUCGCUCCUACCGAUUGAGUGUGUUGGUGAGGAGUUUGGAUUGGCCUCGGAAGGUGGUUCGCCACCGUCCGUAGCUGAGAAGUUCUCCAAACCGCCCCACUUAGAGGAAGGAGAAGUCGUANCA
rnacentral:rRNA from 1 species